rnacentral:rRNA from 1 species
GCAAGUCGCGCGGGCGGAAAGAGAGCUUGCUCUCUGGAAGCCAGCGGCGGACGGGUGAGUAACACGUGGGUAACCUGCCUGACAGACUGGGAUAACGCCUGGAAACGGGUGCUAAUACCGGAUAAUCAGCCUUUAGGCAUCUAAGGGUUGUAAAAGGUGCUACGGCAUCACUGACAGAUGGGCCCGCGGCGCAUUAGCUAGUUGGUGGGGUAACGGCUCACCAAGGCGACGAUGCGUAGCCGACCUGAGAGGGUGAACGGCCACGCUGGGACUGAGACACGGCCCAGACUCCUACGGGAGGCAGCAGUAGGGAAUCUUCCACAAUGGGCGCAAGCCUGAUGGAGCAACGCCGCGUGAGUGAAGAAGGCCUUCGGGUUGUAAAACUCUGUCUUUGGGGACGAAUGGCUGAGAGAGGGAAUGCUCUUGGAUUGACGGUACCCAAGGAGGAAGCCACGGCUAACUACGUGCCAGCAGCCGCGGUAAUACGUAGGUGGCAAGCGUUGUCCGGAAUUACUGGGCGUAAAGCGCGCGCAGGCGGCCAUUUAAGUCUGGGGUGAAAGCCCGGGGCUCAACCCCGGGAUGGCCCUGGAUACUGGAUGGCUUGAGGAUCGGAGAGGCAAGGGGAAUUCCACGUGUAGCGGUGAAAUGCGUAGAGAUGUGGAGGAACACCAGUGGCGAAGGCGCCUUGCUGGCCGAUAACUGACGCUGAG